UCUGCGCCCGGCGUGCCGUGGUCGGCGUACACGUUUCCGGAGGAGACGUACGUCCAGUGGCGGGCCCGCGGGGCGAGCGCCUCCAGUGCGCCGCGCACGA
rnacentral:tRNA from 1 species